rnacentral:rRNA from 1 species
AGUUUGAUCCUGGCUCAGGACUAACGCUGGCGGCGUGCCUAACACAUGCAAGUCGAACGAAGUAGCAAUACUUAGUGGCAGACGGGUGAGUAACACGUAGUCAACCUACCCUUGUGUGGGGGAUAACUAGCCGAAAGGUUAGCUAAUACCGCAUACGAUCGUCGAGGGGCAUCCCUUGACGAUGAAAGGAGCAAUCCGCACGAGGACGGGACUGCGUCCCAUUAGCUAGUUGGUAAGGUAACGGCUUACCAAGGCUUCGAUGGGUAGCUGGCUUGAGAGAGUGACCAGCCACACUGGAACUGAGACACGGUCCAGACUCCUACGGGAGGCAGCAGUGAGGAAUUUUCCGCAAUGGGCGCAAGCCUGACGGAGCGACGCCGCGUGUGGGAUGAAGGCCCUAGGGUCGUAAACCACUGUCGAAGGGGACGAUAUUGACGGUACCCUUGGAGGAAGCCCCGGCUAACUACGUGCCAGCAGCCGCGGUAAGACGUAGGGGGCAAGCGUUGUCCGGAAUUAUUGGGCGUAAAGCGCUCGUAGGCGGAUCGGAAAGUCUGCGAAAAAGACCCGGGCUCAACUCGGGGAACGGCGUGGAUAC